UUAAAGUGGCAGAUUUAUGCGAGGAAUUUAAGCUUCCUAUAUGAGUAGUUUCCUUUAAC
rnacentral:tRNA from 1 species